rnacentral:lncRNA from 1 species
ACUCAAAAUAUGACACCCUAGAACCUAAAACUAGUUGCUAGAAUAGGCUAAAAAUGGUCAUAAUGCAUGGUGUCUUUAAGUAUUAACCAAAGCAGUAAAAAAACUAUGUACACAAGUUUUAAAACAUAAAAGAAAGAUAAAAAUAAGGGCAAAAUUCGAAAAUACAAAGAAGUUAAAGAUUUGACUAUUAAGGACCUAAUAUUACACUACUUAAAGCCUAAAAACUAUACUAAAUAGGUUACAGUUUCGAAAUUAACCUAAGGAAACCUAAGAAUGUAUAAUUUUGUUAUCCUAACAAGUUUAAAGUACCUAAAUAAAGCUAAGAAAGAUGUCAAAGUGGAUGAAGUACCUAAAUCUCAAAAUUUGGCUAGUUAAACCUAAAAAGUGUACUAAAUAGGUAAGAAAACGAGAAUUGACCUAAAGUAACCUAAGAGUGUGUAUUCUAAAAAUCCUAACAAGUUUAAAGUUGUUAAAGGAAGCUAAGAAACAUGUCAAAAUAGAUGAAGUACCUAAAUCUCAAAGUUUG